UGAAAGGUUACAUUUAACAGAGAACAAUAGAGUCUUGAAAGUAAAAUAUUGACUUACAGUGUGUGUUUUUAUUGAUUUACAGGUCUCCUGACAAAUGCAACAACGGAGCCCCGCAGAAGCAGUUCAAACUUGUGAGAACUAUAUACUUUAGACAAUUUCACUGCUGUGGAUCAUCAUCCUAUGUGUCACUUACUCCAUCUGUUUCUCCAUAUCUCAUAAAAGACAGCAUUGUUUCUCAACCUUAUGAGCUAAACUCUGUCCUUCCAUGUAAAGGAUCAUUGGAGAUAGGAAUAUUGUAUGUUGUUAUGAGAUAUGCUUGAGCAUUAGCAAUACAGUUACAUGGUUAACAUUUCAUCUACAGUACUUUAUACGCCAGUGAGAGACUUGAUGUUACCGACUUGUCUGAAUUUCAAUAUUCUAUCAAUCUGAAGAGUAUUCUCCCCAAUCAGCCUUAGAGAGAAGACUGUUUUGUCUACACGAGGACUAAGGUGCAAACACGACUCAAUUCUUGUGCCCUGGACUGUCUGAAUUGCUUUUAUUUUCUUAUAUGUUGGAAUAUAAAUGAAAUAGACCAAAGAGCAAAACUAUGUUAUCAUGGACGCAGACCUAUUAUCAGAAACCGUUGGGGUUAAAUACAAAAGGCUUAACAUGAAUGCUUACUUAUGACUUAAGAAAAAACAAACAAACAUGUUUUUGGGAUUUACAAAGCUGGAGGUUUACUCUCCAAUGGACAUCUUUAUGGACAACUGCAGCAAUGUGGACACAGGAAAUAGCUCUUCAAAAAUACAUUUAUGGAACCUAACAGAGUAUGGAAAAAAAAGAGCGGCCUAUGUUAAGAAGAAGAAGAAGAAAAAAGAGCAUAGAACACAACACAGACACUGUCUUAAUGAUAUCUUUACUCCUCUGUACUUAGAAUGACAUUCCCAUACUAAAAUCCAUUUUCUGUUUUAACCAGUAAAAUAGGCCUCUUCUACAAUUCCAUUUUGAUAGUUGAAACUGGAUAAACCGAUAUUUGCAAAAGAGCAUGUUUGGUCAUCUGUGACCUCAUUCAAUACACCAUUUAGCACCAGAAAACAAAUUAAAGAAAAAAAAGUAACACUUGUUUGAAAGAGAUCAUUAAAUGUAUUUUGAAAAGCCUAAAAAUUAUAUAUUUAACAGUUUUUAUAUGUUGUAUAUUUGUAGAAAAUCCUAUUUAACAAUUAACGUGGUAACUCUGCAAUUCAAAUGUCAGAGUUCUCUUGUGUUUAUUACUUCAGUUGCCUCUGAAUACACCGGUGUAGUUCGCUUUCUUCCAUUGAGACAUUUUGGAUGUAAAGCAUGAUCAGAGAGAGCUGUGUAGAAACAAAGAAUAAUGUUUAUAUAAUAUAAAUGCAUUCAACCAUUGCGCUGUUGGAAGGCAGUUUCUUUUUUUCUUUUUUUUUUUUGUCUUUGAGUACUGGUAAAACUAGUGUAAAUCAUUUCCAAGUAGCUUUUUCAUUUUGUGUUCCUUUUAGCUCUCCUUAUGAAUGCACAUAUUAUACAAUAUAUGGGGAUAUAUAUGACAGGUACACAUGGUCCCAUAAUUUACUUAAGAGCUCCAUAAUGUUUCUAAAGAGUACAAGAUACAUUUUGUUUUCUUUCGAGGCUUGUCGAUCUCAGUUGGAAUGUUCUGUUCAGUGAGAGUGCAUCUUUAUUAUUAUGAUAAUAACAGGACUACUCGUACCUAAAUAGAUAUCACCUGUACUUUGUAUGAAAUUUACCUCAUCUUUAGAAAUCUAUUUUUUUAUAUUCUUCAGUUUCAUGAAGUGGGCAGUUAAAUUAAAGCUGGUUAUGUGAAAUUUAAGGCAUAUGAUAUGAAACAUAAACCAUUAUUGUACUUUUCAAACAUUACCAGUAAGGUACAAAUUGGUGUACUGUCUUCCGGGCAGAUAUUUUUUUUUUCUUUUUUUUUUUUUAAACUACCUAAUACUGUCAUCAACAAUUACUUUUAACCCUUUUUAAUUAUUUAGCAUGUUCUUAGACCUUAAUUACUAAUCUAGACAUGACAUCGAACCACAAAUUUACAACACAGAGGACAAUUUAUUUGAAGCCCUAACCGAGGAAGCAAACAAUAUUAGACAGUUACACAUUUUUAAACAAGACUAUUGAAUAGCUUUGAAUGAAUUGUAGGUUUCAGGUAAUAUAUCUUUUAGGGCUGCUGUUACAAUUGUUUAAGUUAUCAUGACAUUAAAUAUAUUUUUUCAUAAUUUCUUUUUUGUUCCUUUGCGUACGACAAACACUGGUGCAACAUUUAGCGCAAGUGUUUUUGACAGACUCCAUUUGAAAUGAUCACUUUCAUUAGAUAAAAUAACAUGCAAAAAUGGUGUUAAAUAUAUAUGGG